rnacentral:snoRNA from 1 species
CUCCCCUUAAGAAAUCAAAUUUAAAUUAUUUUAAACCGUGGGGCUCUGCAGACAGCAGUCUCCAUGGAAGUGCAUGAAGCCUAUUGCUCAUAUGGUUUGCCUUAAGGGACCUUGUAGAUGGCU